AAUUUGAAAUCUGGCCCCCUCGGGGUCCGAGUUGUAAUUUGUAGAGAGUGCUUCGGAGGAGACCGCGGUCUAAGUCCAUUGGAACAUGGCGUCAUAGAGGGUGAGAAUCCCGUAUGUGACUGUGGCUCGAACCCGUGUGAAGCCUUUUCGACGAGUCGAGUUGUUUGGGAAUGCAGCUCAAAAUGGGUGGUAAAUUUCAUCUAAAGCUAAAUACUGGCUGGAGACCGAUAGCGCACAAGUAGAGUGAUCGAAAGAUGAAAAGCACUUUGGAAAGAGAGUUAAAAAGUACGUGAAAUUGUUGAAAGGGAAGCGCUGGCAACCAGACCUGUCCGUAGGCGAUCAGCCGCUGUUCUCAGUGGUGCACUCGCUCUGCGAUCAGGCCAGCAUCGGUUUCGGCGGUCGGAUAAAGGCCUUGGGAAUGUAGCUUCCCCUCGGGGGAGUCUUAUAGCCCUCGGUGCAAUGCGGCCAGCCGGGACCGAGGACCGCGCUUCGGCUAGGAUGCUGGCGUAAUGGUUGUCAGCGACCC
rnacentral:rRNA from 1 species